UACAGAGGUCCCAAGCGUUGUUCGGAUUCACUGGGCGUAAAGGGUGCGUAGGCGGCGCGGUAAGUCGGGUGUGAAAUCUCGGGGCUUAACUCCGAAACUGCAUUCGAUACUGCCGUGCUUGAGGACUGGAGAGGAGACUGGAAUUUACGGUGUAGCGGUGAAAUGCGUAGAUAUCGUAAGGAAGACCAGUGGCGAAGGCGGGUCUCUGGACAGUUCCUGACGCUGAGGCACGAAGGCCAGGGGAGCAAACGGG
rnacentral:rRNA from 1 species